AUGGCUCUGACAAAGAAGGGUGAGGUUAAAAAGAAGCGUUCUUCUGCCAUCAACAAGAGAAUGAUCAGAAGAUACUCAUAAACGCACUUGUGGAGUGGGGUUCAAGAAGCAUGUUCCUUGACAACUCAGAGAGAUCCAGAAAUUUUCCAUGAAGAAGAUGGAAAUGCCAGAUGUACUACUGACACCAGGCUCAACAAAGCUGUUUGAGCCAAAGAAAUAAGGAAUGUCCCAUACCAUAUUCAUGAGCGAUUGUCCAAAAUAUAACAAAGAUAAUAAUUUAUUAAACAAACUUUAUACAUUGGUUAACUAUGCACAUUGAAAAAUCUACAUAUAGUCAACGUGAACAAG
rnacentral:lncRNA from 1 species